rnacentral:rRNA from 1 species
GGGAUAACUUCAGGAAACUGGGGCUAAUACCGGAUAGGAGCUCCUGCUGCAUGGUGGGGGUUGGAAAGUUUCGGCGGUUGGGGGUGGACUCGCGGCUUAUCAGCUUGUUGGUGGGGUAGUGGCUUACCAAGGCUUUGACGGGUAGCCGGCCUGAGAGGGUGACCGGCCACAUUGGGACUGAGAUACGGCCCGG